GAGCGGCGGAUGGGUGAGUAACACGUGGGGAACCUGCCCCAUAGUCUAGGAUACCACUUGGAAACAGGUGCUAAUACCGGAUAAUAAAGCAGAUCGCAUGAUCAGCUUAUAAAAGGCGGCGUAAGCUGUCGCUAUGGGAUGGCCCCGCGGUGCAUUAGCUAGUUGGUAAGGUAACGGCUUACCAAGGCAAUGAUGCAUAGCCGAGUUGAGAGACUGAACGGCCACAUUGGGACUGAGACACGGCCCAAACUCCUACGGGAGGCAGCAGUAGGGAAUCUUCCACAAUGGACGCAAGUCUGAUGGAACAACGCCGCGUGAGUGAAGAAGGUUUUCGGAUCGUAAAGCUCUGUUGUUGGUGAAGAAGGAUAGAGGUAGUAACUGACCUUUAUUUGACGGUAAUCAACCAGAAAGUCACGGCUAACUACGUGCCAGCAGCCGCGGUAAUACGUAGGUGGCAAGCGUUGUCCGGAUUUAUUGGGCGUAAAGCGAGCGCAGGCGGAAGAAUAAGUCUGAUGUGAAAGCCCUCGGCUUAACCGAGGAAUUGCAUCGGAAACUGUUUUUCUUGAGUGCAGAAGAGGAGAGUGGAACUCCAUGUGUAGCGGUGGAAUGCGUAGAUAUAUGGAAGA
rnacentral:rRNA from 1 species